rnacentral:rRNA from 1 species
GAUGAACGCUGGCGGCGUGUUUAACACAUGCAAGUCGAACGAAGCACCUUAUUCUGAUUUCUUCGGAAUGAAAAAUUUGGUGACUGAGUGGCGGACGGGUGAGUAACGCGUGGGUAACCUGCCUCAUACAGGGGGAUAACAGUUAGAAAUGACUGCUAAUACCGCAUAAGACCACAGCACCGCAUGGUGCAGGGGUAAAAACUCCGGUGGUAUUAGAUGGACCCGCGUCUGGUUAGGUAGUUGGUGGGGUAACGGCCUACCAACCCGACGAUCAGUAGCCGACCUGAGAGGGUGACCGGCCAACAUGGGACUGAGACACGGCCCAAACGCCUACGGGAGGCAGCAGUGGGGAAUAUUGCACAAUGGGGGAAACCCAGAUGCAGCGACGCCGCGUGAGCGAUGAAGUAUUGCGGUAUGUAAAGCUCUAUCAGCAGGGAAGAAAAUGACGGUACCUGACUAAGAAGCACCGGCUAAAUACGUGCCAGCCGCCGCAGUAA